rnacentral:rRNA from 1 species
GGCUUAGAGUUUGAUCAUGGCUCAGGACGAACGCUGGCGGCGUGCCUAACACAUGCAAGUCGAACGGAGAUAAGCGCUGAUGAUUUAGCUUGCUAGAGAUUCUUGCUUAUCUUAGUGGCGGACGGGUGAGUAACGCGUGAGCAACCUGCCUUUCAGAGGGGGAUAACGUCUUGAAAAGGACGCUAAUACCGCAUGAUAUUAUGGAGCCACAUGGCUCUAUAAUCAAAGGAGCAAUCCGCUGAAAGAUGGGCUCGCGUCCGAUUAGGUAGUUGGCGGGAUAACAGCCCACCAAGCCGACGAUCGGUAGCCGGACUGAGAGGUUGAACGGCCACAUUGGGACUGAGACACGGCCCAGACUCCUACGGGAGGCAGCAGUGAGGGAUAUUGGUCAAUGGGGGAAACCCUGAACCAGCAACGCCGCGUGAGGGAUGACGGCCUUCGGGUUGUAAACCUCUGUCCUCUGUGAAGAUAAUGACGGUAGCAGAGGAGGAAGCUCCGGCUAACUACGUGCCAGCAGCCGCGGUAAUACGUAGGGAGCAAGCGUUGUCCGGAUUUACUGGGUGUAAAGGGUGCGUAGGCGGUUUGGUAAGUCAGAAGUGAAAUCCAUGGGCUUAACCCAUGAACUGCUUUUGAAACUAUCGAACUUGAGUGAAGUAGAGGUAGGCG